rnacentral:rRNA from 1 species
GCUUACGACCAUACCGGCCUGAGUACGCCUGAUCUCGUCUGAUCUCGGAAGCUAAGCAGGGUCGGGCCUGGUUAGUACUUGGAUGGGAGACAGCCUGGGAAUACCAGGUGCUGUAAGCU